rnacentral:rRNA from 1 species
GAUGAACGCUGGCGGCGUGCCUAAUACAUGCAAGUCGAGCGAACAGACGAGGAGCUUGCUCCUCUGACGUUAGCGGCGGACGGGUGAGUAACACGUGGAUAACCUACCUAUAAGACUGGGAUAACUUCGGGAAACCGGAGCUAAUACCGGAUAAUAUAUUGAACCGCACGGUUCAAUAGUGAAAGACGGUUUUGCUGUCACUUAUAGAUGGAUCCGCGCCGCAUUAGCUAGUUGGUAAGGUAACGGCUUACCAAGGCAACGAUGCGUAGCCGACCUGAGAGGGUGAUCGGCCACACUGGAACUGAGACACGGUCCAGAUUCCUACGGGAGGCAGCAGUAGGGAAUCUUCCGCAAUGGGCGAAAGCCUGACGGAGCAACGCCGCGUGAGUGAUGAAGGUCUUCGGAUCGUAAAACUCUGUUAUUAGGGAAGAACAAAUGUGUAAGUAACUAUGCACGUCUUGACGGUACCUAAUCAGAAAGCCACGGCUAACUACGUG